CAGCCCAGAUCGUCAGCUAAGGUCCCUAAAUGUAAGUUAAGUGGUAAAGGAUGUGGGAUUGCACAGACAACCAGGAUGUUGGCUUAGAAGCAGCCACUCAUUCAAAGAGUGCGUAAUAGCUCACUGGUCGAGUGAUCCUGCGCCGAAGAUUUCCGGGGCUAAACCUUACUACCGAAGCUACGGCAUCAGUAAUGAUGGGUAGGGGAGCUUCCCAUACGGGUUGAAGCAUGACCGUAAGGACAUGUGGACAGUAUGGGAG
rnacentral:rRNA from 1 species